rnacentral:lncRNA from 1 species
UAUUUAUAAAAUAACGUCAUCACAUACCCAAAACUAGGUUUGUUAACCAUACCAAUGGCUAACUCUACAUUCAUUUCACAGAAUCAUUUACUUUAUUAGCUUAUACAUGCCAUUGAUUUCCAAAAUAAAGUUUCUUUAUAUACCGAAGUCCUGAGGUUGAUAGUGUGAUGUGUCUCCUACCAAAUCCGACCUCCGAGCUCUU